rnacentral:rRNA from 1 species
GAUGAACGCUGGCGGCGUGCUUAACACAUGCAAGUCGAACGAUUAAAGCCCCUUCGGGGGUGUAUAAAGUGGCGAACGGGUGAGUAACACGUGGGCAAUCUGCCCCUCACUUCGGGAUAACUCAGGGAAACUUGAGCUAAUACCGGAUACUCCGAACUGAUCGCAUGGUCGGUUCGGGAAAGCUCCGACGGUGAGGGAUGAGCCCGCGGCCCAUUGGCUUGUUGGUAGGUUAACGGCCUACCAAGGCGACGAUGGGUAGCCGAGCUGAGAGUUUGAGCGGCCACACUGGGACGGAUACACGGCCCAGACUCCUACGGGAGGCAGCAGUGGGGAAUUUUGCGCAAUGGGCGAAAGCCUGACGCAGCAACGCCGCGGGCGGGAUGAAGGCUCUCGGGUCGUAAACCGCUUUCAGCAGGGAUGAAAUUGACAGUACCUGCAGAAGAAUCCCCGGCUAAAUACGUGCCAGCCGCCGCCGUAA